GCCCGCCUAGCUCAAUCGGAUAGAGCGUCAGACUCUUAAUGCGGGUUUAUCUGAAGGCUGCGAGUUCGACCCUCGCGGUGGGCU